AUUCUCUAGUAUGGUUGUUUGAUCCUUUGGUCGUAUUCUAUGGUUAUGAUUCUGCUAUGUCUUUCAUUCCUUCGAAAGUCGAUUUUAUGGUAUGAACGCUUAUGACCUCCUUUGGUUUCAAUUAUAGGGAAACAAAAAUGCAACGAGCAUCAUUAUACCCGAUAAUGAGGGAAGUUUCAAUAGAAAAAUAUUGGAAGGGAA
rnacentral:misc_RNA from 1 species